rnacentral:rRNA from 1 species
GACGAACGCUGGCGGCGUGCUUAACACAUGCAAGUCGAACGGAAAGGCCCUGCUUUUGUGGGGUGCUCGAGUGGCGAACGGGUGAGUAACACGUGAGUAACCUGCCCUUGACUUUGGGAUAACUUCAGGAAACUGGGGCUAAUACCGGAUAGGAGCUCCUGCUGCAUGGGGGGGGUUGGAAAGUUUCGGCGGUUGGGGAUGGACUCGCGGCUUAUCAGCUUGUUGGUGGGGUAGUGGCUUACCAAGGCUUUGACGGGUAGCCGGCCUGAGAGGGUGACCGGCCACAUUGGGACUGAGAUACAGCCCAGACUCCUACGGGAGGCAGCAGUGGGGAAUAUUGCACAAUGGGCGGAAGCCUGAUGCAGCAACGCCGCGUGCGGGAUGACGGCCUUCGGGUUGUAAACCGCUUUCGCCUGUGACGAAGCGUGAGUGACGGUAAUGGGUAAAGAAGCACCGGCUAACUACGUG